rnacentral:tRNA from 1 species
AAAGGGAGACCUAAUUCGGGUAGAAGACGAAAAAAAAGUAGUCCCUACCAAGAAUCAAUCCCAAAAGGUCGGAACGAGGUAUGUGGCUUUCAAACUAGGUUCUGGGUUCACAAAAGACCUGAAUCAGGAACAAGGGCUAUUAGCUCAGGUGGUUAGAGCGCACCCCUGAUAAGGGUGAGGUCCCUAGUUCGAGUCCAGGAUGGCCCACCUGCACAGGUGGCAAAAACAAGAGAAACGAGGAAUCAGCACCUUAUCUUACUUACAUAGUAAGAGAGAAUGCUGGCUCUGAGUAAAGAGUCCAGAGGAACCUUGAAAACUGCAUAGAGCUAGGUGAAAAAGCCAAAAAAGAAGACCGCAAG